GUGGACCCUAGUGGUCAGGUCGGGUGUUCUUCGAGUUGUUGCGCGUAAAGCUGAUUUCCUCGCCACGGAAGCCGCUUCGGUGCUCGUCGUGGCCGUUGGCUGGACUUGUUCCUUGCCCUGGGGCCAAGGGUAUAAGUUGGAGGCCCUCGUGACUCUCCCCCUUGGCCUAAGUCAGCGUCCAUGCCUCCACCAGAUAGGGAGAAACAACAGAGAGGGAGAAAAGGGAAUCCACGCCGCCCCCGCCAAAUCUCAUCCACAUCAUCGGUCGGAGUCAAGCUGGUGACUAGGGCGCUUUGUCGACGCUCGGGGAUGACGUAAAUCGCAUCUUGAUGGGAGAAUUCGGGCCAUGGACUACGGAAUUUCUCGCCGAAGACUUGGGUUGCCGCAGAUCCGCUUUGCGUCAUGGUCGGGAGUGCCUGCUACAUGAUAGACAGGUGAUGAAGAAGACAUUGAUGGAGAUUUCGAUGAAUACUGAGUCUAACGAUGCGCCGGUCAUCUUCCUGUGGGAGGUCACCCAUAUUUAAUUCCGCCUUACUUUGAUGUUGAUACUUGUUAAAGAUACAAUGAUUUAGAUGAUGUAAUAAAGUACUCUACUCACUUUACGCCUUUA